CAGUAGCCGCGGGAAUACGUAGGGUGCGAGCGUUAAUCGGAAUUACUGGGCGUAAAGCGUGCGCAGGCGGUUCGUUAAGACAGAUGUGAAAUCCCCGGGCUUAACCUGGGAACUGCAUUUGUGACUGGCGAGCUAGAGUAUGGCAGAGGGGGGUAGAAUUCCACGUGUAGCAGUGAAAUGCGUAGAUAUGUGGAGGAACACCGAUGGCGAAGGCAGCCUCCUGGGCCAAUACUGACGCUCAUGCACGAAAGCGUGGGGAGCAAACAGGAUUAGAGACCCCAGUAGUCCCUGUCUCUUAUAU
rnacentral:rRNA from 1 species